rnacentral:rRNA from 1 species
CACACGCUGGCGGCGUGCUUUACACAUGCAAGUCGAACGGCAGAGGGGGGCUUUGGCCUGGCGGCGAGUGGCAAACGGGUGAGUAAUGCAUCGGAACGUGCCCUGUGCGGGGGGAUAGCCCGGCGAAAGCCGGAUUAAUACCGCAUACGACCUGAGGGUGAAAGCGGGGGACCGAAAGGCCUCGCGCUAUUGGAGCGGCCGAUGUCGGAUUAGCUGGUUGGUGGGGUAAAGGCUUACCACUGCGACCAUCCGUAGCUGGUCUGAGAGGACGACCAACCUCACUGGGACUGAGACACGGCCCAGACUCCUACGGGAGGCAACUUUGGGGAAUUUUGGACACUGGGGGCCACCCUGAUCCAGCCAUGCAGGAUGCGGGAAGAAAGCCUUCGGGUUGUAAACCGCUUUUGUUCGGGAAGAAAUCCUCUGGGAUAAUACCCCUGGGGGAUGACCGUACCGGAAGAAUAAGCACCGGCUAACUACGUGCCAGCAGCCUCUGGAAUACGUAGGGUGCGAGCGUUAAUCGAAAUUACUGGGCGUAAAGCGUGCGCCUGCGGUUGUGCAAGACAGAUGUGAAAUCCCCGGUCUUAACCUGGGAACUGCAUUUGUGACUGCACUGCUACAGUGCGGCGCAGGGGAGUGGAAUUCCGAGUGUAGCAGUGAAAUGCGUAGAUAUGCAUAUGAACACGCGAUGGCAAGGAAGCUCCCUGGCACUGCACUGUCGCUAAUGCGCUAGAGCGAGGGCAGAAAAAGGAUUAUAUACCCUGGUAGUACACGCUCUAGCGAUGUCGACUGUAUGUUGG